GAUGAACGCUGGCGGCGUGCCUAAUACAUGCAAGUCGAGCGAACAGACGAGGAGCUUGCUCCUCUGACGUUAGCGGCGGACGGGUGAGUAACACGUGGAUAACCUACCUAUAAGACUGGGAUAACUUCGUGAAACCGGAGCUAAUACCGGAUAAUAUAUUGAACCGCAUGGUUCAAUAGUUAAAGACGGUUUUGCUGUCACUUAUAGAUGUAUCCGCGCCGCAUUAGCUAGUUGGUAAGGUAACGGCUUACCAAGGCAACGAUGCGUAGCCGACCUGAGAGGGUGAUCGGCCCCACUGGAACUGAGACACGGUCCAGACACCUAGGGGCGGCAGCAGUAGGGAAUCUUCCGCAAUGGGCGAAAGCCUGCCGGAGCAACGCCGCGUGAGUGAUGAAGGUCUACGGAUCGUAAAACUCUGUUAUUAGGGAAGAACAAAUGUGUAAGUAACUAUGCACGUCUUGACGGUACCUAAUCAGAAAGCCACGGCUAACUACGUG
rnacentral:rRNA from 1 species